rnacentral:rRNA from 1 species
UGGGGAAUAUUGGACAAUGGGCGAAAGCCUGAUCCAGCAAUACCGCGUGUGUGAAGAAGGCCUUAGGGUUGUAAAGCACUUUCAGAGGGGAAGAAGUGUUGAAUGCUAAUACCAUUCAAUGUUGACGUUACCUUCAGAAGAAGCACCGGCUAAUUCUGUGCCAGCAGCCGCGGUAAUACAGAAGGUGCAAGCGUUAAUCGGAAUUACUGGGCGUAAAGAGUGCGUAGGUGGCUCAUUAAGUCAGGCGUGAAAUCCACGGGCUCAACCCGUGAACUGCGUUUGAAACUGAUGAGCUAGAGUAUGGUAGAGGGAAGUGGAAUUUCAGGUGUAGCGGUGAAAUGCGUAGAUAUCUGAAGGAACACCAGUGGCGAAGGCGACUUCCUGGCCCAAUACUGACACUGAGGCACGAAAGCGUGGGGAUCAAACAGG